rnacentral:rRNA from 1 species
AUUGAACGCUGGCGGCAUGCCUAACACAUGCAAGUCGAACGGCAGCACGGCAGUAGCAAUACUGUGGGUGGCGAGUGGCGGACGGGUGAGGAAUACGUCGGAAUCUGCCCAGUCGUGGGGGAUAACUAGCCGAAAGGUUAGCUAAUACCGCAUACGACCGAGAGGUGAAAGCGGGGGACCGCAAGGCCUCGCGCGAUUGGAUGAGCCGACGUCGGAUUAGCUAGUUGGUGGGGUAAAGGCCCACCAAGGCGACGAUCCGUAGCUGAUCUGAGAGGAUGAUCAGCCACACUGGAACUGAGACACGGUCCAGACUCCUACGGGAGGCAGCAGUGGGGAAUAUUGGACAAUGGGCGCAAGCCUGAUCCAGCAAUGCCGCGUGUGUGAAGAAGGCCUCGGUUGUAAG